GAACGCUGGCGGCGUGCUUAACACAUGCAAGUCGAACGAUGAAGCCUUUCGGGGUGGAUUAGUGGCGAACGGGUGAGUAACACGUGGGCAAUCUGCCCUUCACUCUGGGACAAGCCCUGGAAACGGGGUCUAAUACCGGAUAAUACUUCUGCCUGCAUGGGUGGGGGUUGAAAGCUCCGGCGGUGAAUGAUGAGCCCGCGGCCUAUCAGCUUGUUGGUGGGGUAAUGGCCUACCAAGGCGACGACGGGUAGCCGGCCUGAGAGGGCGACCGGCCACACUGGGACUGAGACACGGCCCAUACUCCUACGGGAGGCAGCAGUGGGGAAUAUUGCACAAUGGGCGAAAGCCUGAUGCAGCGACGCCGCGUGAGGGAUGACGGCCUUCGGGUUGUAAACCUCUUUCAGCAGGGAAGAAGCGCAAGUGACGGUACCUGCAGAAGAAGCGCCGGCUAACUACGUGCCAGCAGCCGCGGUAAUACGUAGGGCGCAAGCGUUGUCCGGAAUUAUUGGGCGUAAAGAGCUCGUAGGCGGCUUGUCACGUCGGAUGUGAAAGCCCGGGGCUUAACCCCGGGUCUGCAUUCGAUACGGACUAGCUAGAGUGUGGUAGGGGAGAUCGGAAUUCCUGGUGUAGCGGUGAAAUGCGCAGAUAUCAUGAGGAACACC
rnacentral:rRNA from 4 species